GUGUCAGCCGCCGCGGUAAUACGUAGGGUGCGAGCGUUAAUCGGAAUUACUGGGCGUAAAGCGUGCGCAGGCGGUUAUUUAAGCCAGACGUGAAAGCCCCGGGCUUAACCUGGGAAUGGCGUUUGGGACUGGAUAGCUAGAGUACGGCAGAGGGAGGUGGAAUUCCACGUGUAGCAGUGAAAUGCGUAGAGAUGUGGAGGAACACCGAUGGCGAAGGCAGCCUCCUGGGCCAGUACUGACGCUCAUGCACGAAAGCGUGGGGAGCAAACAGGAUUAGAUACCCUUGUAGUCC
rnacentral:rRNA from 1 species